UUCCACAAUGGGCGCAAGCCUGAUGGAGCAACACCGCGUGAGUGAAGAAGGGUUUCGGCUCGUAAAGCUCUGUUGUUAAAGAAGAACACGUAUGAGAGUAACUGUUCAUACGUUGACGGUAUUUAACCAGAAAGUCACGGCUAACUACGUGCCAGCAGCCGCGGUAAUACGUAGGUGGCAAGCGUUAUCCGGAUUUAUUGGGCGUAAAGAGAGUGCAGGCGGUUUUCUAAGUCUGAUGUGAAAGCCUUCGGCUUAACCGGAGAAGUGCAUCGGAAAC
rnacentral:rRNA from 1 species